AUUGAACGCUGGCGGCAUGCUUUACACAUGCAAGUCGAACUGCAGCGCGGGCUUCGGCCUGGCGGCGAGUGGCGAACGGGUGAGUAAUACAUCGGAACGUGCCCAGUAGUGGGGGAUAGCUCGGCGAAAGCCGGAUUAAUACCGCAUACGACCUGAGGGUGAAAGCGGGGGAUCUUCGGACCUCGCGCUAUUGGAGCGGCCGAUGGCAGAUUAGCUAGUUGGUGGGGUAAAGGCCUACCAAGGCGACGAUCUGUAGCUGGUCUGAGAGGACGACCAGCCACACUGGGACUGAGACACGGCCCAGACUCCUACGGGAGGCAGCAGUGGGGAAUUUUGGACAAUGGGCGAAAGCCUGAUCCAGCAAUGCCGCGUGUGUGAUGAAGGCCUUCGGGUUGUAAAGCACUUUUGGCGGGAACGAAAAGGACUGUGCCAAUACCACGGUUCGAUGACGGUACCCGCAGAAUAAGCACCGGCUAACUACGUG
rnacentral:rRNA from 1 species